UUCACAUUGCAAAAUACUCCUUCAUGUCCAAAGAAAAGAAAAUGUACCAGCAGUAAGCUUCAUUGUUACCUCAAUUUCGUUCUUAUAACUCCACAAUCAACUAUAUUUCCUAUUUCCAUUGAUGGGGGGCAGAACGUGAAUCUACAUUUUCAAAGGGAGAAAAAGAUGAAGUUUACCAUUGAAGCAAAAAAAAAAACCAAAGAACGUGAUUAGUUUUGUAAUCAGCAACUUGGAAAGUUCUAAAGUUAAGUGACAACGUGAUUCAUUUUUCAAGAGCAGCAACAUAUUUCUAUUUAAGAUCUGCAGGUUCAAGAAAUGAGACAUGGGAUGAGUAAGUAAGCGACAAGGUAUAUAGGGAGACGGUACAGAUUCUUAGGCUGCCAUCUCAGCAUGGGUACAGGAGCACUACACUUGUUCCGGAGUUGCAGUUCAGCAUGGUAUGAUUCUUUUUUAUAUAUAUGGGCAUGGCGGGGUCCUGUCCCGUCGCUAUUAUGGUAUGUACUCCAUGAAGAGGCUCGUAGAUAGAUAUGUACAAUUAGUUGUUUUGUGACCUUUCGGUCCAUAUUUUGUUAUAUCGUUUGACAGCCAUAUCGGCCCGUAUAUAUGGGCACAGUU